rnacentral:rRNA from 1 species
UACAGAGGGUGCGAGCGUUAAUCGGAAUUACUGGGCGUAAAGCGCGCGUAGGCGGCUUUUCAAGUCGGAUGUGAAAUCCCCGGGCUUAACCUGGGAACUGCAUUCGAGACUGUCUAGCUAGAGUAUGGGAGAGGGAAGUGGAAUUUCAGGUGUAGCGGUGAAAUGCGUAGAUAUCUGAAGGAACAUCAGUGGCGAAAGCGACUUCCUGGACCAAUACUGACGCUCAUGUGCGAAAGCGUGGGGAGCAAACAGG